CGGGUGAGUAACGCGUGGGUAACCUACCCUGUACACACGGAUAACAUACCGAAAGGUAUGCUAAUACGGGAUAAUAUAUUUGAGAGGCAUCUCUUGAAUAUCAAAGGUGAGCCAGUACAGGAUGGACCCGCGUCUGAUUAGCUAGUUGGUAAGGUAACGGCUCACCAAGGCGACGAUCAGUAGCCGACCUGAGAGGGUGAUCGGCCACAUUGGAACUGAGACACGGUCCAG
rnacentral:rRNA from 1 species